AGUUCAGUGCCUGCCUCCUGGGCCAGAGUUGCAACCAAGGAGGCCUACAAUGAACAGAGGCCAGGCAGCAGCAACAUCUGGACUCAUCUGCCUCCUCACCUGCAGGAUAUGAACAAGAACAGCUGGAAUAGGAAUGGAGUGCUCUUGUUCAAAUAAUCGUAUACCAAGCCUGUAUUCCUGAGAGUACUGGAGACAGUAUCCAAAAGAGGGAAAGAAUCCAAUAGAUAAGGAAAUGCAA